rnacentral:SRP_RNA from 1 species
UCGUGCUAGGCGGGGAGCUAGCGGUGCCCUGUAACCCGGAAUCCGCUAUACCGGGGCCGAAUUCCCACCGGCGGUUCGGUGAUCCGGGAUGUUCGUCCGGCCCAAAGCGAAACCCUCGGAAACGGGGACUUACGGACCAGAUCCCGCGCAACGGCCGACCGCCCAACCCCGUCAGGACCGGAAGGUAGCAGCGGUAAGCGGUAACGGCGUGUGCCGCGGGAAAAUCUGGCCCCAGUUGAGGUCCGGGUCGUCUACCCGGAAAAUCGAAACAACGGUGGGUGCACGA